rnacentral:lncRNA from 13 species
CUGUUGUCAAACCUUCACACAAUACAAUGCAGAAGGUUUGACAUUACAAUGAAGAUCAGACAUUGGUCAAUGUUUUUGUUUUACACCAACUUCACGGGGACGCCUCAGCAGAGAAAUUAUGGGAAUCCUCAUGCCAACACAUCAGACCAACAGCUACAGGAUGGGAAUGAUGCCAUAAACUAUGCUGUCCUGAAGUUCACUGACAAGAAUAGUACCAGGCCAGGAGACAGAGGAGAGAACGGAGAGAACAGAGAGAGGAAGAAACCAUCUACUCAGCCAAUGAAUCUACUCAAGUGAAAGGAACCAAGUCUGACAAUGAAGGUAAGACAUUUGAACAGCUGAUCUCUGAAAAAUGUCUGUACAUGUUAUCUUAUCCUCACACGGGGCACCAAAUGUAGGUACAGUGUCAUAAAUUAUGUGUUUGUGUUUUUCUGGUCAGCAACAUUAAGAAAUCCCUUAUUAUAUGUAUAUAUUGUUCACCUUCUCAAGAGAAAAAAAAACAGAAUUGCUGAACUACAUUACAUUGUUGCUAUCAUUAUUAUCCUGAUAGUAGCAAACAUUCUCCUGACAAUCUUGUGGAGGAGAGUUCUGCAAUAAUUUAAAUAGUGUGUUAAAGUGUAUCUUUGUCAUGCCUUAUACAAAAUAUAUGAUGAAUAAAUGUAUAUUAUAUAAUGUAUUAAUGGCAAUCAAUAAUACACAAAAAGUAUAUGUUUUGUUAUUUAAUCUAGGGGUGACAAGGACAUUUCACCCUCAGUCCAAGUGAGUAAUUUUGCAUUACCUAUUUUGCAUGAUGUUAAAUUGCUUCACAUUCUCAUGCUUCUUGUAGGUAGCUGGAGUAAUUUAGUAAUUGUGGAUGAGGUAUGUAUCUCUCUCUUUAUUUUAGAAUCUGAACGUGGACAGAGAGAACUAUGCUGCACUGAGCUUCUCAAUAAACAGAUCUGAGUGUGGAAGAGGAAGAGGGCAGCGUGGAGACGUUUGUUUAUGCUCCAAUACAGCAACAGCUGUGAAAUAGUGUUGUUUGAAUAUAUUAACAUUCCAUAAUGUAUGUAAUGUGUAAUUUUGCCAGAAUUUAAUAUUUUUUUAAAUGUUAUUUCAAUAAAGAUGCAUUUAUUUUUUUAAUGUAUAAUUGUACUCGCUGGUGAAGGCUAUGUUUAAAUGUGGCUGAGUAAAAAUGCCAUCAAAAUAAAAGUAAAUAAAACAUACCUAUCUCUCCAAGAAGCAAAGAUGCUUACAAUUGUGCAAACAUCCUAAUAGCUGUCAUCUUCUUCAAAACCUGUCUUGAGUGGAAACGUUUACCUCUAUAGAACAACAGUUCUCAAAUGAGGUUAUUUAGUUUUCUGUUUUCAAAUAUAGUUCUAUGUUUUCAAAUGUAAUAAAAGGUCAGAAUUUCACUUUUUGGAUGAAAAAUUAAGUUUAACAAAAGCCUGGCCUUUUUAUGGGACAGAAAUUAUCAUCUUCACAACCCACUCCACUUUACAACUCACUCCCCACUCCCCUUUAAGGAGUGGGGAUUGCUCAAGGCCUUCUAAGUCUUCACAGAAGUCACAAGGACUUAUAAAGUAUUCUGAUUAUAUUAUUUUUUCAAUGACAUUCUGAUAUAAUUUUUUCAGUUUGCAUUUAAAACGAAAAGGUUCAAAAUGAGGACAAAAAAAGAUCCAUUCAAGAUUUCUCAUUGGUUGUCCCUGGGGAGAAAUGUAGCAAGAUAGCUCAACAUUGGCUAUGCCAUCAGAAGCUCGAUAGAAGGCACCUGCUAUUCAACCAUAUUAGAGCAGAAUUUUGAAGUGACAGUAGAAUCAACCAAUCACAUUUUGACAUGUAAUGAGUUGGACCAUUUUUUUAAAAACGUAUGGAAACUUCCACCAUUCUUUAACCUGUCUAGGACUGGCCCCCACAACAGCCAGUGAAAGUGCAGGGCGCCAAAUUCAAAACAACAAAAAUUUCAUAAUUAAAGUUCCUCAAACAUACAGGUAUUUUACACCAUUUUCAAGAUAAAAUUCUCGUUAAUCCAGCCACAAAAUGAAAGCACCACAAAUGAUUAUGUUAGGUUCAGUAGUUAUAAAACAUGCAGUCAUAUUGCAGAGAGCCACAUCAAUUUACAGAAAUACUCAUAAUAAACAUUGAUAAAGAUAUGACUAUUAUACAUGGAACUUUAGAUAAACUUCUCCUUAAUGCAACCGCUGUGUUAUAUGCAUAUUCUAGCUUUUACGGCUGAGUAGCAGGCAGCUUGAUUUGGGCACAUUUUUCAUCCAAGCUACCCAAUACUGCCCCCUACUCCAAAGAAGUUAAGGCCCGAUAGGUCCCCGCACAAUUGCAAGCAGUAGUUUUCCCAUUGUCUAAGCUAGCUAGUUUUUGUUGUAGGCUAGUGUGCGGCGGCUGCUCUUGUUGGUGAAAAUUAAGAAGAUGUUGAUGCUAUAUUGUUAGCCUCAUGAUUUUCGAAAUUAACUUUCAACAAGAAGUUGUUUCAAAUGAUCAUCAUCUGGUGCGUGGAACAGUUUUUUUUUUAUUGCAGCUCACUUGCUGUUGUUAGCUAUCCCUUUGAAAAUAAUGUGUUAUGAGUGUGAAACUUUAGAUCAAACGGUUAGUGUGUGUGCGUAAUGUCAUAACGACGUUUGCAAUGGGAAGUAAUAAUUGUACAUUUCUAUUGGUAAAUGUUUAUCCUAAUGGUUGUGUUUUUGUGAUCUUACGAUUGGGAGCUAUUGGACUAUUAAUUCCUAGUAAAUGGACUGCUUAUACCUUUAACAUCAUCCUGUGUGUGACUGCUGUCUUUCUAUCAGUCUAAGUGUUUUACAGAAAGUGUUUGAUAAUUUGGUACAAUGUUUUGAGUUAUGUACAAUGUUUUGGAAGAGUUUUCCCCCUCUGAAGGCCUAGGUCCAAAAGCCAGGGUACGCCACUGGCUUUAAGGUAUACUGUGGGUGAAGUACAAGCCACUGCUCCUGGCAAUCGCAGGAGUUCCUAAAUUCAUUGGUCUGUAGGUGCAGUAAGAAGAGUUCCCCCUAUUGGCCAAUGUUGAGUCAAAUAUUUGCACCGAUACCGGAACUUGUAGAUUCAGUUAGACUUCAUUACAAAGUAACAGAGCCGAGCGAUUCCAUGGAAUGACCAACUUUCUUAUCACAGAGCUCUGUCUUUAUAGUUGUUCUUCUUUACAUAACACAUAGAGUCACGUCCCUCUAUAUGGAUGAUAACUCCCCUUGACCUUUCGCAACCAUUAUCUUCCAGCCUCAGUUAUUGCUUGUUAACGCCCAUAUCUGCUCCGUUCUAGAUUAUAAUGUUGGCGGCGCCCUGGUUAUAAUACAAAAAAAGAAUACAUUUAUUGCAUACAUAUGUUUCCAGUAUUAGUUCUGUUUUCUGCUGACAUUAUGCUUUUCUGUAACCCUAACCCUAACCCUAACCCUAACCCUAACCCUAUCUAGCUCUGUCCCUUUACCUAAGUUCAGCUCACAUUUGUUUUAUCCCUUAUACAUGUUAUUCUGUCUCAGUACUUCAAAGUGGACAGUGUGGAUACUGCGGAUACUGGAAAUGUAAUCAUUGUCAUGAGUUUGGCUCCUACACCAACCAUCAACAAUUCCAGCCAAUAGAUACCAACUCCAGGAGGUCCUAAAGCCCACUAAAAUAAAUAAACACAACAGUGAGGGGAAUUUCACAGUGAGAACAGAUUUUGAUUUUGAAUGUUUACUGUCAACCACACCCUUUUCAAAGGUUAUUACUUUAAAAUGGACUAAAUGUUACGGUGAGUGAAUGAGGACCCAAAAGUGAACUAACUUAAACAGAGCUUCUUUAAUAACCAAACAUAGGUAGGCUCAGAUAGACCGGCAGAUUCCGACAGGACAGGACAAGGUUACAGCAAACAUGACGAUAGUCUGGUUCAGGCAUGAAACACAACAAACAAGAAUCCGACAAGGACAGGAACAAAAACAGAGAGAGAUAUAGGGACCUAAUCAGAGGGAAAAAGGGAACAGGUGGGAAACGGGGUGAAUGGGUAGUUAGGAGGAGACAAGGCACAGCUGGGGGAAAGAGGGGGAGAAAAGGUAACCUAACAACGACCAGCAGAGGGAGACAGGGUGAAGGGAAAGGACAGAAACACACAACAUGACAAUACAUGACAGUACCCCCCCACUCACCGAGCGCCUCCUGGCGCACUCGAGGAGGAAACCUGGCGGCAACGGAGGAAAUCCUCGAUCAGCGCA